ensembl:lncRNA
AUAAAUAUAAACCACAGCUGUAACUGAGGGAAGGCCCAUUGUUACUAAUCUCAGGAGAGGCCGUUUAUCCAUACCUGAAGCUACAGGAGAGCGAGGCAGGUCUUCCCCUGGGCUCCUAUUGCCAUUAGGCAGAUUUUCUUCUGGUGUUCACUAACGGUGUGAUCUCCUUCUGGACUCCAGCAGAGGUUUCAGUUUAGGUGCACGAUUUGCUCUUAUUCUGGGCCAAGGCAUCAUCUCUGUUACCUAAGUUCUACAAGAGACCAAAUAAAAGGAAGCUCAUAGCAGCAGCCAGAAACAAGUCCCGAGAAACCAAAGCUAUGAUAACUGGAAACAUCUGUGUCAAUUUUUCAGCGACCACGAAAACAGACCAGGAGUUUGCAGGGAGCAUGAGCUGUGCUUGUUACCAGAUAUCCUGCAGUUGGCUGCCUGGCUUCAUAGCUUUUUUUGAACUUGGGAGACUUCAAGCCUCAGCUGAGGAAUCCUUGAUGCCCCCAUUGUCUUGUCUUGCUAAAAUGUACAAGAAACUUGCAGAGCUCAACCCUUCAGGCUUAAAAUUUUCCCAGGGAGCAGUGCUUUGCUGUGGAUGUAAGCUUUAGUCAGUGAUGUUAAGGCCAGAUGGGAAGCAGGUCUCUUCAUGAGGUUGCAGUCAAGAUGUCAGGGGAGCUGCAGUCAUCUGAAGGCUUGACCACAGGUGGAGGAUCCACUUCCAAGAUGGCUCACUCACAUGGCUGCUGGCAGGAAAUAUCAUUUCCUCAUUGGCUUUCGGCUGGAGGCCCACUUCCUAGCUUCUCCAUGGAUGACUAUCCUUAUGACUUGGCAUCUAUCUUCCUCCAGAGCAGAUGGGAGUCACUAAUUCCAGUCCACACUCAGUCAGAAGAGAAUUUGGAUCCACCUCUUGAAGGGAGAAGCAUCAAAGAAUUUGUGGGCAUUUUAAAACCACCACAAACCUUUUGUUAAUUUUUUAAAUAUCUACAGGAUAUGAUAUUGAUUGUUCUUUCUUACUUUUUUUUAAAAAAGUCUUACUGGGUUUAUAAAUUUAAUUAAUCUUUUCAAAGAAUCCACUUUUGGUUUAUUGAUGCUCUCCCAUGUAUGUUUGUUUUCUAUUUCAUCAAAUUCUCUCAUCUUCAUUAUUUCCUUCUUUCUUCCUGUUUUGCAUUUAUGUUGCUGUUCUUUUACUAACUGUUUGAGAUAGAUCCUUAAUUGAUUUUUAGUCUUAAUUCCUUCUAAUAUAAUAUUUUAAGAUUAUGUAUUUCCUCCUAAGCAUGGUUUUAAAGGUAUCCUAUAAGAUUUGAUAUAUUCAUUAUUAUAUAGUUCAAGCUAUUUCAAUUUUCUUUCUGAUUUAUUUUUUGGUCCACAGUAUAUUUAGAAGUGUGUUGCUUAAUUUUUAAGAAUUUAGUGAUAUUCUAGUUAUGAUUCAUUGUUUGUUUUCAGCUUAAUUACCCUGUGGUCAGAGAACAUGCUUUGUAUGAUUUCAAUAAUCAUACAGAUAAUUUGUGAUAUGGCCCAGCCUUUCCAAUUUUGGUUAAUGUUCCAUUUACAUUUGGGAAAAAUGAGUGCUCUUCAGGUGCUGUGUGUAGUGCUUGUUAAAAUGUCAAUUAGGGCAAGUUAGUCAGUCAUGUUACUCACAUCCUAUGCCUCAUUACUGAUUUUGUAUAUGCUUAUUUUAUUAGUUAUUAAGAAAGGUUAAAAUCUUUCUCUGUGAUUGUGUAUUUAUUAUAUCUAUAAUUUUUGUUGUUCUCUAUGUUUUUUACUUUAUAUAACAACUAGGUGGAAAACUUUUGGAUUGUUACAUCUUUUUGAUGCCUGGGACCCUUUGUCAUUAUAAAGUGUCUAUAUUUUUAACAUUUCUUUUAGUAUGGCCUAGAAAUUAUCUGAAAAAUUCCCUCAGUUUUGGUAUUUGGAAAGUUUAUUUAUGUUUCAUUUUUAAAAGAUAUUUUCACUAGACAUAGACUUCUAGGUUAGCAGUUUCAUUCCAUUAGCUUCUGCCUUACCUCAUUUCUUUUGAGAAAGUAGUUAAAAAUCUUACCAUUGUUCCUUUGAAAGCUAUGUGUUUUUUGCCUCUUUUUUAAGAUCUUUCUCAUUGUCUUUGGUCUAUAAGAUUGCUAGAUAUUUUUUUAUAUUUUUUUCUGCUUGUGAUUUAUAGCGAAACUGGCAAAAUUCUACAUUUGUAUAUGUUGAAAUAUUUCUUCUGUCCCAUUCUCUCUCUCUCUUCUUCUGGACUGUAAAUACAUUUGUUACUCUUUUCACUGUGUCCUUUACAUCCUUUAUGUUCUCUUCUAUUUUUGUUUAUCUUUCUCUCUGUGAUUCUAAUAUGUAGAAUCAUAUCUACUGAGUUUUUCCCCAGUUCAAUACUCAUCCUUUAGAUUGUUUCUAAUAUGCUCUGGGACCAAACCGUUUAUUGAAUUCUUAAUUUCCGUUUUUGUUUUCCCAGUUUUAUAUUUACACUGAAUUCUGUAUUGACUUCAGCUUUAUGUUGAACUUCUCCAUCUUUUCACAUAUUUUUUAGAACACAUUUUUAAAAAAUUUUUUACUUUAUUAUUUUUUUGGUGAGGAAGAUUGGCCCUGAGCUAACAUCUGUUGCCAGUCUUCCUCUUUUUGUUUGAGGAAGAUUGUCACUGAGCUAACAUCUGUGCCAAUCUUCUUCCAUUUUGCAUGUGGGACACUGUCACAGCCUACCUUGAUGAGCAGUGUGUAGGUCUGUGCCCAGGAUCUGAACCUGUGAACCCCAGGCCGCUGAAGUGGAGCAC